GUAGAUAUGUAUAGGGGGAAGGAGACAGGGAUACUAGAGUGAUGGAGGUAGAUAUGUAUAGGGGGAAGGAGACAGGGAUACUAGAGUGAUGGAGGUAGAUAUGUAUAGGGGGAAGGAGACAGGGAUACUGGAGUGAUGGAGGUAGAUAUGUAUAGGGGGAAGGAGACAGGGAUACUAGAGUGAUGGAGGUAGAUAUGUAUAGGGGGAAGGAGACAGGGAUACUGGGGUGAUGGAGGUAGAUAUGUAUAGGGGUAAGGUGACAGGGAUACUGGAGUGAUGGAGGUAGAUAUGUAUAGGGGGAAGGAGACAGGGAUACUGGAGUGAUGGAGGUAGAUAUGUAUAGGGGGAAGGUGACAGGGAUACUGGAGUGAUGGA